rnacentral:rRNA from 1 species
AUACGUAGGGUGCAAGCGUUAAUCGGAAUUACUGGGCGUAAAGCGUGCGCAGGCGGUUUUGUAAGACAGUGGUGAAAUCCCCGGGCUCAACCUGGGAACUGCCAUUGUGACUGCAAGGCUGGAGUGCGGCAGAGGGGGAUGGAAUUCCGCGUGUAGCAGUGAAAUGCGGAGAUAUGCGGAGGAACACCGAUGGCGAAGGCAAUCCCCUGGGCCUGCACUGACGCUCAUGCACGAAAGCGUGGGGAGCAAACAGGAUUAGAUACCCUGGUAGUCCACGCCCUAAACGAUGUCAACUGGUUGUUGGGGAUUUAUUUUCUCAGUAACGAAGCUAACGCGUGAAGUUGACCGCCUGGGGAGUACGGCCGCAAGGUUAAAACUCAAAGGAAUUGACGGGG